ACUCUCUUUGUUGGAGAGGUGCGAGUUGAGGCUCCCGUGGAAGCGGAGAGCCGGAGUGCAGCAUGGGGAGACGGAGCGCCGGGAUCAGCAGUGCAACUUUUCCUGUCCACUGCCCUGAACUGUGCCUUACUGCUCACAGUUUCUCUUCCUCCUGGACCUGAAGACUGUUGCACCUCCUUCACAUCCGUAAUGACACCCUGUAGAGUCUGUGAUGAGAAGAAGAAAAGACAACAACAAGUCGGUGACGGCUGCAGUUAAUGGAGAGGCUGUAAUUGUGAAUGGAGGCAUUCAUCUGGAGACGUCGUCCGUGAAUUGCGUCGCACAAUACGCAGCGCCGGGCUGCUCAGAUCACCAACCAGUCACUAAACACACACAUGGAUACACGCAUGCAGACGAACACACUGAACCCCUUAGAUCACUGGUGCUCAGAGGAGGAAACGUAAUCACACCUCCGCAGAGAGCAAGGCACCGAGAAGGGGAGGAGAGGAGGAGGAGAGGAGCUGUGGGGGGAAGGGAGGAGAGCAUGAAGAGAGGAGAAAUGAUACAAGGAGAGAGGAGGAGAGGGGGGAGGAGGAGGAGACGGGAUGGUGAAAUUGAUGUUUCCUACCAUUUGAUUUGGGCCAUAGAACCCAGGAGGCAGAUCAGAUAGAGCCACACACACACACACACACACACACACACACACACACACACACACACACACACACACACACACACACAUACAUUCUGUGUACAGAUUCACAAACAUGUAAGAAAAGUCUUUAUCAAACAUACGUCAAACAAACACACACACAUUAACACAUGUGUGUAAGUCUGCAUGCACAUACACACUCAGACAGCUAAACACACACAGAUAUAUAUAUAUAUAUAUAUA